UUGUGUUCAAAGUAUAUAAAAUGCAUAUAAUAAGCGAGUACACCAUGAAUCCAUUUUCCAAACCGUGUUUUUAGCUUGUCCUGAAUCACUAGGGUGCACCUAUAAUAAGUGUUUAUAUUCGGACUAUUUUAGAUUGCUUCGGGAGUACCGCGGCGGAGUAACCCAGUACCUUUGUGAUUCUUCAUAGACAUAAACAGAGAGAAGUAGUUCCGGCUACGAUGUUCUUCCGCAACACGCAAGCAGUUCUGUUUAUUAACCGCUAGAGCGUCAAAAGUUAGUGUAACAGAUCUGGAUUAAGCUCAUAUCAAACUGAACUGCUCACUUGUUAAAGCGAGACAUUUAAAGGGUUGUUAUCUGGAGCUGUGUUUAUCAGUCUGUUAUUUCUCCUCCCAUCUUUAAGACUUUGACCUCAGGAGCGCCUGCUGUUCCUCACACUGUGAGAAGAUCUCGAGACAUCUCCACGAGCUCGUCUGAGUGUUUCCAGUCUCCAGAUGAACCUCAGGGGUCUGGAUCUUCUCAAAGAGCUCAAACGGAUUGUUGUGUUCAGGUGCUGUCUUCAUGCUGCAGGGUUCGAGUCCGUUCGGCUGCUCCAGAGGUUAUCCUGAAUGACUCGGCUCCAGGUGCUGUCUUCAUGCUGCAGGGUUCGAGUCCGUUCGGCUGCUCCAGAGGUUAUCCUGAAUGACUCGGCUCCAGGUUUAUCCAGACCCAGCGCAGGAUCAGUAAACAGUGAGGACUGACCCUGAGACCAGAUGAUCAUUAACUCAAAGCUGUUUAUACACACCACCGACCGCACACUGCUGCUAGCUCAACGAAUACUGAUAUAGUGUCAGGAAAGGUGUUUAUGUGUGUUUUUGAUGUUAGCCAUGCAACGAUUCGAUUUCAAAAACUGUGGUUUUGUUAUGAUUUUAUGUCUGUAUUUAACCUCUGAAUGAUCUCAAAGGUGCUAGAAUCUGAAUCAGUGGUGAAUGAAAUGAUUACAAUCUUAAAGUAACGAAGGAUUUUGAGGAGUCUGAGCGUGAUUCAGAAUUAUUAACUGUUGAAAACAUUUGUUAGAAAUGUAGAAAAGUAAUCAAAAAGUAAUCAAGUGUAAUCAGUUACGUUACAUUAAUGAAAUAAUUGAAAUAGUUGCAAUACUCAUUUUAUUUUAGAUAAGGUAACUUGUAAUCUGUAACCUAAUAUACAUUUCCAAAGAAACCUUCGCAACUUUGUUGUUCGGUAGGGGCGUCACAAAAAUAAAUUAAUUACAAA